rnacentral:rRNA from 1 species
UACAGAGGGUGCGAGCGUUAAUCGGAAUUACUGGGCGUAAAGCGUGCGUAGACGGUAGCGUAAGUCAGAUGUGAAAGCCCCCGGGCUCAACCUGGGAACUGCAUUUGAGACUGCUCUGCUCGGGUGCGGAAGAGGGAAGCGGAAUUUCCGGUGUAGCGGUGAAAUGCGUAGAUAUCAGGAGGAACACCAAUGGCGAAGGCAGCUCGCUGGGACGGUACUGACGCUGAGACGCGAAAGCGUGGGGAGCAAACAGG